rnacentral:rRNA from 1 species
GACGAAGGGGGCUAGCGUUGUUCGGAAUUACUGGGCGUAAAGCGCGUGUAGGCGGUUGUCCAAGUUGGAUGUGAAAGCCUUGAGCUUAACUCAAGAAAUGCAUUCAGGACUGGAUGACUAGAGGACCGGAGAGGAUAGUGGAAUUCCCAGUGUAGUGGUGAAAUACGUAGAGAUUGGGAAGAACACCAGUGGCGAAGGCGGCUAUCUGGACGGUUUCUGACGCUAAGACGCGAAAGCGUGGGGAGCAAGCAGG